CUUCCAUGUGAGCACAUUUUGGCUUCAAUAAAAAAAAUCUGUUGUUAUCAGUUUAAUAUCUGAUACGUCCCCUAUCUGGGGACCAUAUAUUAAAUGGAUUUUUGGAACAGGGAGAUGGAAGAAGAGCUUGCUCUGUCCACUCCACGCAUCGACCUGGUAUUGCAGUACCUCCAGGACCGGUGCACCUCUC
ensembl:snRNA U2 U2 spliceosomal RNA